AACAAAAGAUUUUCUUCCACUCCCAUAUUUGAAAGGCUCGACCGAUGUCUGGCCAAUGCUGAAUGGUGUGCGCUUUUUCCCAAUACAAAUGUCUUCAAUUUGCCUAUCAUGCUUAGCGAUCAUGCUCCUAUCCUUGUUUCCACUCAAUCUAAUUUUCACAAACCUAGACUUACUUUUAAAUUUGAGAAUUGGUGGACUUUUGAAGAUGACUUCCAAACUGUAGCUAAAAAUGCAUGGGAAACUAGUGUGAACAAAUCCUUCUAUGCCAGAUCAACUAACCUUGCAGGUACUUUAAAAAAUGGUGCAAGAAGAAGAAGCCGAUCCAGCAACAACUAG
rnacentral:rRNA from 1 species